rnacentral:lncRNA from 1 species
CAAAUAUAUUUUACCUAACUACCCAUGUCUCAAUUUAUCUCAAGCUCCAGUUUUUCCUCAAACUUCAAUUUCUUUAAUUUUGCAAGCUUCAAUUUUCUCUGGAACACUUUCUUUUUAGAUAUGCAAAUUUGGUGAAAAAGAAACUAGGGGAGGAAGAAUGGUGAACACGCAUGGAAGCUUCAACUGAAACAACAAUAAGAACAAAAAUGAGAAAUUAUAACUUUUGACAACCUA